GGAUCCGAGUAGUUUCCUCAGAAAACUGUCCCAUCUAAUUCCUUCAGAAAUUUUGGUUCUCUUCCGAACCCCCAAACCCAGGCCGCGCCACAACACUCUGAAUCUACUUUCCUUCAAUUCGACCCUUUGUAGUAGUUUUAGUUGCGCUUACUCAGUCCAUGAGAGCCGAAGCUUGUCUCUCUCAGGCUCUGGACCCUCGCAUACAGAUCUCCGUUUUCAUACAUGGAUUUGGAGAAGGGAGUUGAAGCAGUAAACAACUCCCUUGUAGUGAACACAGGCUCAUUAGAAGGAGGUGCAGUUCUAGAACCAUAUGUGGGUAUGGAAUUCGAUUCCGAAGAUGAUGCAAGGAAAUUCUAUGUUGAAUAUGCUAGACGGGUGGGAUUUAUUGUGCGAAUAAUGCAACGUCGCCGCUCCGGCAUUGAUGGCAGAACUCUUGCCCGUCGACUUGGGUGUAACAAACAAGGUUUCUCUCCUAAUCACAGAGGCACAAUUGGACAGGAGAAAAAGCCAAGACCAAGUGCACGGGAAGGAUGCAAGGCUACUAUUUUGGUGAAGAUGGAAAAGACUGGGAAAUGGGUUGUUACAAGAUUCGAAAAGGAUCAUAAUCAUCCCCUGGUUGUUACUGCCAAUGGAUUCAGCACAGCGGGUGAUAAGGAUAAGAAAAUUGAAGAGCUUACGGUGGAGUUGGAGCGACAGGAGCAGUUGUGUGCUGCAUACCGAGAAAAAUUACUUUGUUUUAUGAAUAAUGUUGAAGAGCAAACAGAAGAACUAUCCUCCAAAAUCCAAGUUAUAGUUGACAAUGUACUGUAUCUUAAAUAACAUUAUUUCACAAGAACUACAAGAUGAAGCCUGCUCCUGAAGCAUUCCUGUACAUUGACUUGACACGAGGCUUUUUCGAAUUUUAAAGACUGUUUAUUGGGCAGACGAACAAAUCAAGACUAUUCGAUGAAGCACAUCAGACAUUUGAAUUAAGCACUUGUAGAGUUUAUCCAGCCAAGCAUACAUUCACGAAGAGAUACAGCAUACAUACUCACUCCUUCCAGGUUAUUCACUUUGUGAAAGCUUUUGGACUUCGGUCUCAAGUUCUCUUACGUCAUUGACUACAACCUCUACUUUUCUUGACAAAAGUUCUGUUUGCUCCUCGACAUUUUCCAAAAAUGAAAGUAGCAGCUCCCUAUAUAGUUCACAUAGUCGAUCUUGAUGAUGCAGCUCCAUGACCAAUUCUGUGAUUGAGGUCAAUGUAUCCAAGAUUGGCCUUCCCAUCAGCCUCUCUACACAUCAACUCAGGUGCUGCCUUAGGCUUGAUUCCAGAAGUAUGUGUUAAAUCAAUUGUAAAAUCUUGGACACCAGACAUAUUUUGAUCCAAUUGCAUCAUAUGUGUUAAAUCAAUUGUAAAAUCUUGGACACCAGACAUAUUUUGAUCCAAUUGCAUCAUAUUUUCUGGAGGGCGAAGAAUAUGAUUAUGUUCAAGGACAAAA